rnacentral:rRNA from 1 species
GACGAACGCUGGCGGCGUGCUUAACACAUGCAAGUCGAACGGAAAGGCCCUGCUUUUGUGGGGUGCUCGAGUGGCGAACAGGUGAGUAACACGUGAGUAACCUGCCCUUGACUUUGGGAUAACUUCAGGAAACUGGGGCUAAUACCGGAUAGGAGCUCCUGCUGCAUGGUGGGGGUUGGAAAGUUUCGGCGGUUGGGGAUGGACUCGCGGCUUAUCAGCUUGUUGGUGGGGUAGUGGCUUACCAAGGCUUUGACGGGUAGCCGGCCUGAGAGGGUGACCGGCCCCAUGGGGAUGAGGUUCCGGCCCAGCUUCUACCGGAGGGCAGCGGGGGGAAUAUUUCACCAUGGGCCGGAGCCCUGUUCCGCAACCCCGCGUGGCGGAAUGACGGCCUUCGGGUGUUAACCCGCUUUGCCCUGGAACAAGGCGUGGGGACCGUUAAUGGGUAAGAAGCAACGGCUUACUUCGUU